rnacentral:rRNA from 1 species
AAUUUAUGAUUUUAUUAAGUUAUAAUUUUAUUAAUCAAUAUUGGUAAAAAUAAUUUAUAUUUAAUUAUUAGUUAGAAAAAAUAUUUUUAAUUAUAGAAAAUUGUACCGUGAGGGGACAUUAUUAAUUUCAAAAUAGAAAAUUUUAUUUAUUGUACCUUGUGUAUCAGGGUUUAUUAAAUUAAUUUUAACUUUAAGUUUUCCCGAAUUAUGAAGAGCUAAUUAAUUAAUAUUUUAUUGUAUUAUAAAUAUUUAAAAUAAUAAAUUAGACAUGAAAUGUGAUUCGUUUCUUAAUAUAUCUGGUUUCUAGAGAAAUGUAUUUAAUACAGUAUUCUGAUGAUUUUAAUUAAUUGAUGUGAUUAAUCUGAGGUAUAUAAAAGUUGAAAGGGAUAAUCUUUUUAACUGUUUUUUUUAAUUUCAAUUUGUAUAAGCACAAAUUUAUAGGAUUAGAGGUGUUCAUUUAUUUUAGUUUGUAAUAAUUAAUUUAUUUAAAAUUAAGAUUUUAUUUUGAUUUUAAUUUUAUUUAUCUAGUCAAUGGUUCAAAUUAGUUCAAUUAUGAAAUAAUGAUAAAAUUAUUAUAAUUUAAUUUAGAUUAUUAUUAAAUUUAAUGGUAUUAAAAAGGAAUUCGGCAAUUUUAUUUUCACCUGUUUAUUAAAAACAUGUCUUUUUGAAUUUAAUUUAAAGUCAGGCCUGCCCUAUGAAAAAUUUAAUGGCUGCAGUAUUCUGACUGUACAAAGGUAGCAUAAUCAUUAGUUUCUUUAUUGGAAGCUGGAAUGAAGGGUUUCAUGAAAAAUAUACUGUCUCUUUAUUAUUAAAAUAAAACUUUAUUUUUGAGUGAGAAGGCUUAAAUAUAAUAGAAAGACGAGAAGACCCUAUAGAGUUUAAUAUAUUUUUAAGUGUAGUUUGUAGUUGUAUUAAGUUGCACAAAAAAUUAUAUUUGAUUGGGGUGAUUUAAAAAUUAGAAUAACUUUUUAUUUAUUUUAACAUUAAUUUAUGAUUGAUUGAUCCUUAUUUUAGAUUAAAAGAUAAAUUACCUUAGGGAUAACAGCGUUAUUUUUCUUGAGAGUUCAUAUCUAAAGAAGAGGAUGCGACCUCGAUGUUGAAUUAAAAUUAAUUUUUGGUGUAGUGGCUUUAAAAUUAAGUCUGUUCGACUUUUAAAAUUUUACAUGAUUUGAGUUUAAACCGGCGUGAGCCAGGUUGGUUUCUAUCUUUUAUAAAUUUAAAUAUUUUAGUACGAAAGGACCAAAUAUU